UGGGGAAUUUUGGACAAUGGGGGCAACCCUGAUCCAGCAAUGCCGCGUGUGUGAAGAAGGCCUUCGGGUUGUAAAGCACUUUUGUCCGGGAAGAAAUCGCACCUGAUAAUACCGGGUGUGGAUGACGGUACCGGAAGAAUAAGGACCGGCUAACUACGUGCCAGCAGCCGCGGUAAUACGUAGGGUCCAAGCGUUAAUCGGAAUUACUGGGCGUAAAGCGUGCGCAGGCUGUUGUGCAAGACCGAUGUGAAAUCCCCGGGCUUAACCUGGGAAUUGCAUUGGUGACUGCACGGCUAGAGUGUGUCAGAGGGGGGUAGAAUUCCACGUGUAGCAGUGAAAUGCGUAGAGAUGUGGAGGAAUACCGAUGGCGAAGGCAGCCCCCUGGGAUAACACUGACGCUCAUGCACGAAAGCGUGGGGAGCAAACAGG
rnacentral:rRNA from 1 species